rnacentral:rRNA from 1 species
GAAACCGGUGGGACCUCGAAGUCCCGCGGCGAGAGGAUUCAGUCGGCUUCGGCGGCGGACGCCCCGUCGGUCCUUCCAGGCGCCCGGCCUCGUCCGGAGUGCAGCCCCGUCGGACCGGCACGAGGGAGCCGUUUCGUUUGCCCCCGACGCAUUUCCAACUCGCCCGAAAGGACGCCGCAGCCGGUUGGGCACGUUGUCAAGUCGACCGAAAGGACGGAUGGGGGAGUCGCGCGCGCGGUGAAGUCCGCGCGUUUAAGCCCCCGACCGAUUCCGGGUGCGACGCCCGACCGAGGUGAAGAGCGGGGACUUCGGUUCCCGCGCCGCGCUCCACGGGAAACGCGAUCCGUUCGUUGGAUCCGGAUGAGAUUCGGCCGGUCGGCGGGUCGGCCCUUCGGGGCCGGUCCGUCCGCGCUGUGAGUCGACGUCCGGGUGGACGAGACCGCGGGAGCUUGGCGGCUGGCGGCGAGAGAGUCGGUCCCCCACCGGACCCGUCUUGAACACGGACCAAGGAGUGCGACGCGCGCGCGAGUCAACGGGUCUCGAAGAAGCCCGCAGGCGCAGCGAAAGCGAUUGUCGAGAUCCCCGACCUUCGGAAGGGGCGCAUCGACGGCCCGCAGAUGCCGAACCCGGACCGGGAACGGCGGCGGAGUCCGGAGCGCGCGCGACGCGACCCGAAAGGCAGUGAACUAUGCAUGCUCGGAAUGAGGGCGGGGGAAACCCCGGUGGAAGUUCUGAGAGCUUCUGACGUGCAAAUCGAUUUCGAGAAGGGCGUAUAGC